AACGAACGUUGGCGGCGUGGAUUAGGCAUGCAAGUCGUACGAGUUUCAUCUGGGUAACUGGAUGCAAAAAGUGGCGAAAGGGGCAGUAAGGCAUGGAUAAUCUACCCUGAUGACCGGGAUAGCUGUCUCAACGGGCAGGUAAUACCGGAUGAGCUUGUGGGGCCGCAUGGUUCUGCCAGGAAAGGCGCCAGCCGUGUCGGGAGGUAGCCUUGUGAUAUUAGCUAGUUGGUGUGGUAAAGGCUCACCAAGGCGAAGAUGUGUAGCGGGUGGGAGAGCACGACCAGUGCCAUUGCAAAUGAGACAUGGGCCAGACUCCAACGGGAGGCGGCAGGCGAGGAUCGUCGGCAAUGGGCGAAAGGCUGACCGAGGGACGCCGCGUGAGGGAUGAAGGCCAUUAGGUUGUAAAGCUCUGUCGAGGGGGAACAAGGCGCAAGGUGGCGGGAUCCCUGGAGGAAGCACGGGCUAAGUUCGUG
rnacentral:rRNA from 1 species